CUCGUUAUAAUCUUCAGUUGUGUGUGUUCAGGGUGAGUGUGUUGUGUGUUGUGUGUUGAGGAUGAGUGUGUGUGUGUUCAGGAUGAAGUGUGUUGUGUGUUCAGGAUGAAGUGUGUUGUGUGUUGUGUGGUCAGGGUGAAGUGUGUUGUGUGUUCAGGAUGAGUGGUGUUGUGGUGUUCAGGAUGAAGUGUGUUUUGUGGUGUUGUGUGUUCAGGGUGAAGUGUGUUGUGUGUUCAGGAUGAAGUGUGUUGUGUGUUCAGGAUGAAGUGUGGUUUGUGUUGUGUGUUCAGGAUGAAGUGUGUUGUGUGUUCAGGAUGAAGUGUGUUGUGUGUGUUCAGGGUGAAGUGUGUUGUGUGUUGUGUGUU
ensembl:lncRNA